UGUGUGUGUGUGUGUGUGUGUGUGUGCCUGUGUGUGUGUGAGUGAGUGUCUGCGUGUGUGUGUGUCUGUGUGUGUGUGUCUGUGUGUGUCUGUGUGUGUGUGUGUGUACAUGUGUGUGUGUGUGUGUGUGUGCCUGUGUGUGUGAGUGAGUGUCUGUGUGUGUGUGUCUGUGUGUGUCUGUGUGUGUGUGUGUGUACAUGUGUGUGUGUGUGUGUGUGCCUGUGUGUGUGUGAGUGAGUGUCUGCGUGUGUGUGUGUCUGUGUGUGUGUGUCUGUGUGUGUCUGUGUGUGUGGCUCCGUCAAGUCCUGACCUGCAGUCAGUGUGAAUGUUCCACAGAAGCACGUUAAACACGCAUCCUGAACCCGUCCACUCACAACCAGGACAGAGGAGCUGGUGUCACCAGCUCCUCUGUCCUCACCUCACGGAACCAGAACCAGGCUGAGACGGAGCAGCGGACCGGUUCCGAGCUGCCUCAUUGCAGGCAGCGUGUCAGGACCCAGCGUGUGUGCGAGAAGCCGCUCACCAGCACCCGGCUCUCCAUCCGGUCACCUUUGACCUCCAGCCGGACCGCGCGCCUCAGGUUGAGCUUCAGCCUGCGACCCACGGCCUCGCGCACGCUGUCUGCACAGAGAACAAGCGUGAGGUCACACUGCAUCAAUAUUAGUGACAGGAAACGAAAAGGACAGAAGAAGAAGAGAGAGAGAGCGAGAGAGAGAGAGAGCGAGAGAGAGAGAGAGCGACACUGAGCCGCAGCAGGAGCCUUCAUGAGCAUCUGAGGACGUCUCUGUCUCUGGACACAUGACGAGGUCACGUUCCAGCACGAGACGCGUCCUCCGGGACCACGAGCUCCCGCUGGGCAGCGUCUCUGUGCUGGACUCAGGGUCCCGCGUCGUCUCCAGCUGAACGGGGCUGAGACUCCCGCAUUUCUGGUGCCUCCCGGUCCAGAGGAAUGUGACGGGACGCAGCCCUUCCCUGCAGCGGAGCAGGAAGUGAGCGAGGAGCUCAGCUGCUGUUCAUCUUCUCCACACGGUGUCAGCAACGGACCAGAUUUAAAGUCCCUGGACUCAAGUCCCACUGAUUUGAACAGUCGUUCCAAUUUCAGCAUGUGCUGAAAUAAAAGUUAUGAAGGUUCCAUCCAGGAUGAAUGAAAGACCAGUAAAUGACCCUUAAAUCACAACAACGUCUCACUGUCCUAAAAUAUAUGACAACCGCCCAUUUGAUUCAGGGAAGUCUGGAAAGUCCCAGUUUGCUGGGUGGAUUUGAUCCGAUGCUGCACUGGUCACUGCAACUGGAGAAGGUCUGUGGUUCUGGUCCCUGACAAACACCGUCAUCACUGUGGCGCUGUGAUGAACACUGGACCCGGACAGCGGAAACAUCUGUGUGAGUUUGAAUGAAAGGAAAUCCAUCCGGAUGGAGGUGAGGCUGAUCAUCUGUGAUUGUGGAACGCACAGGAAAGCCUCGGCCUUUUCUAGGUCCUCGGAACCAAGCGCCAGACUGGUUCUGCAGUGUCAUCAAAGCCGACAGGAACGCAUGAGGAGAGAAAAGAGUCAGAACCACAGCGAGUAGAUCCUCCUCCAGCUGCUUUGGACGAGCUGGUGCCGACUGACUUCACUCCAUGACUCAAGCAGCUGCAGACAGAUUCUGGGAGCAGAAGGUCCAGACCCGUCUGACCCGGACUCUGUUAGGACUAAAGGUCUGUCUCACAGCAGCCCAGGAAUAAAUGCAAAACUGUGAUUUAGGCCCCAAAACCAACAUCUACGUGAGGAUGGAGCUUCAGCAGAAGAUGAGUAGUUAUUGUAGUAAAGCCCAGCAGCUUUGCCAGUGACUCCACGCUCCUUCUGGGCAAAGCAAAGCACAACAGAGUCCCUGCUGAGCUGCUCAGUAAUGAACAGCUGACUCACUCACUGACCGACAGAGGAAGUUUGGAUUUGACCCCAUUGUUACAGGAUCAAGGCUGUUGACCAUUUAAUCUGUGGCUGACGUAAAACUGAUUAAUCCUGAUCUGGGAAACCUGGACAAUGACUGACUGAGAAACCAGAACAAUGACUGACUGAGAAACCAGAACAAUGACUCAGCGAUUUCCAGGGACGGGCAGAGUCUCACACCUUGCGGUGGGUCAGACAGACAGGUUAGUUCUACCUGACUACACCUUGACCUUUGACCUUCUGACCACAGAGGCCACUCCUUCAUGGCUGGAAGGUGAGCAGCAGCUGAGCGUCUUCAUGUUUUUCAGGCCGGUUGAUGUUUUUCCGGCAUGUGGGGGGUGAGAGGAGGCGUCUGUCCACCUCCUGGAUCCACUGAUCUGAGGAAUGGAUGCGAGUUUCAUGAUGACAGUCGCUGCUGUGACUCCGGUCCAAGUCGAGACAUAAUGAUAAUGUUCUGUCGCUUCUACUUUCAUUUUUCUUCAAACAGAGUGUGUGUGUGUGUGUGUGUGUGUGCGUGUGUGUGCGUGUGUGUGUGUGUGCGUGUGUGUGUGUGUGCGUGUGUGUGUGUGUGUGUGUGUGUCCACUAACGGCCUCUGAGUCGGCCUUGAGCUGAAUGUACUUCCUGUUUCUGUGACGUGAGACGCUCAGUGUCUGUGUUCGGUUGCACCUGUUUUUCAUCCACUUCUCUGUGGUGGAGUUAACGCCAUGCUUCUCCUCAACAGGAUGAGGUCCUGCUCAUGGGCUACCUGGCAGAGUGGAUGCUGGACUACCCCAGUUUGAGGGUCUGGGACUGCUGUUGGACGUCUGGAGCUGCAGGGUGGGGCCCCACAGGGCACUGUCGUGGGCCCCUUCCUCUUCACCCUCUCCACUGCAGUCUUCAGACACCACUCAUCUGGCUGUGUUCUGCAGAAGUUCUCAGACGACUCCGCAUCACUGACGAUGACGACGCCGAGUACAGAGAGCUGACACAGAACUUUGUGGACUGGUGUCAGCGGAACCACCUCCUGAUCAGCGCGGGGAGGACCAUUGAGAUGCUGGUGGACUUCCGCAGAUGUCAGUCUGGACCCAGGAUCCAGUGAGCAUCCAGGGAGCGUGGACCUGGUACCAACAAACUGACCGGACUGACUCAGACGCUGUGCGGGACGGGUCAGAGCCGGGCUGCUCCCUGUCACGCCCUCUGUUUGUGGUUCUGUUGUUCGUCAGCAGGUUCCAGCACACAGGAAGUCAGGUUGAGCUCAGAGCAGCCUCUGCCUCAGUGAUAUCAUCUCAGACCUGCGUGGUUUGGUUGCUAUUUGCUUUUCUUAUCUGUCACACACCACUGAUGCUGAAGCCACUCUCACGCUAUGUUACAUGUUCACUGAUUUGAAGUUAGAAACGUUGGCUUUGUUAGUCAGCGAUAACGUGUGAACAUGUGGCUACAGAUUAGACCUUUUUUGACUUGUUUUGUUUUGUACUGUGUCUUUCUCUUGCUCUAACAUGGACAUUUUCCCAUGACGGACAAAAAGGGUUUUGAUCUAAUCUGAAAAGGCGUCAUCACUGGACGCAUCACCACCAUUCUGAAGCGCGUGAGCUCAGAGUGAGCAACCAGCUGUGACUGGACCGGACCGGACCGGCUGGAGGCCUCGUGAUGGACCCUCCAUGAGCCUUUUAUUCCCUUCUGUUCUGGUCGUGUAAAGCGUCUGUCCGCAGACGUACAGGUCUGAGGAGCAUGAGGGUUCGAUUCCCGGCUGCCGGUCCAUUCUCCCCGUGUCUCGGUGGGUUCUGCUCCCCCACAGAAACACAUGGAAGCAGUGAAUGAGUGCUCAGUGAACACGAUGGAGCUAAAGGGUUCUUCUCUUCUCGUGUGACUCGAGCAGGUCUUUCUACUUUUACUUUUAUUACGCAGCUACUCACUUUCACUUCAGCCUCAGUCUGCUCCCAACUGCUGCUGAAGCCCGUCAUUAUGAAGGGCUUAUGUGAGAGCCUGCAGUUACUUGAUUUUCAGGAUCUGUCACACGCUUUCCUGUAAAGGAGGCUUCGGCCCAAUUCAAGUAUCAUUUUCACAGAGAAUGAGACCGUUUGGCUCCGUCCUGGUUCGAAUGCUGGAGGAUAGUUCUGGCUUAAAUCAUUAAACAGACGUUUGUGGAGGUGGAGAGCGUUCAGAAUGACAACAAGGAUGAGACGACGUUUGCUUUAAGCCUGAAUUCUGAGGUUGGAAGCGAAUGUUUAGCCCAAAGCCAUGGUCCUUAUAGUGCUUCUAGAUCGGAGCAGGGGCUUUUAUUUUGGCGCAGUCCACUUCCUGCCUCUUCACGCCUUUGUGACUCCUGCUGUUUUGCACUAAACCUCACCUCAUUUAAAUUCUGUGGACAGGAAGUGGAACAGGGAAAUAACACUGUACAUUAAGAUAAGUGUUUCCUUGUUCCUGCGUCUUCACUAUUUCUGUUACGUCUUUAAAUAAUGACUUUAGGGCAGUUUCAGGACACGUUUCUGAUGAUGAUUCAUUUCUCUCAGAAACUGAACAUGCAUCUUGGGAAACUACACUUUAGCAGCUUCAAACUCACCUGACUUGCGUUACACUCAUCAGUUCAUGUGCACAAAGACAAGAAGCUGAGCUUUUGCUUAAGGGCUGUUUGUGUUUAAACCAGAACUCCUGUUGGUAACGGUUGGUGGCUCAAACCGGCCUAAGAUGAGUCACUCUGUUCCAGGACAUGGAAGCUGGACAUCAGCUGGUUCAUUAUCAACCUGCCGGCUCCAGUCUGGAACCUGCCAGGAACCCUUUAGUUCCCUUCGCUCCGCUUCUGUGACGCGGCUGCUCUCUGAGCUUCCAGAAACGCUUGACCUCAGCUGCAGUGAAGACGCUUCGGCAUCUCCAGCUCUAGAGGUUUUCAUCCUGCUGGGUUCUGGUGAAUCACCGCAGCCUCAGAACACCUGCCUAAACAAAACUGAUCCUGUGUCAGUAAAUGAAACCUUUUCUUUCUUAACUAAACAAAGAAAACAGGUCACGACAAGUCCAGGGGCCCGUUUCAAGAAGGAGGUUUUGUUGAAACUGAGUUUGUUGACCCUGAAACGAGGAAAACUCUGAGCUUUCGGUUUCAGAAAGCGGGGUAACUUAAACCCGUAAAGCGGGGUAAGUUUAAACCCGUUUCAAGAAGCGAGGUAAUGGAAACUCAGAGUCAGUUACUAUGGCAACUGACUCUGUGAACCUAACCUGGUCGCGAGCAGGUUUUAUUUAAACCGAGUUUCCUUCGGUCUCCGCCCCUUUUUAAAGUGAACAGUGUUUAAAUGCCUCAUUUAAUCUUUCAGUUCAUUCAUAGAUUUCACCUGUUUCCUUCGCGCAGAGACCAAAAUGUCCGUUUCUAGAGGAUCCUGUAGAUGAGGACGCUGUAUUAUUUCACACGGCAUUGAAUUUACGCCGCGAGAGGAUUUUGACACCACGAGUUAAUUUUCUGUCAUAUCGCCAUGCGUAUUUAUUGUGGUCAUGCUCCUACAUCCGAACAGAUUCUUUGUGUUGCGUUACGUUUUUUUUUUGCAAACAGUAGUUUUCUUUAUAACAUUGAAGAUGCUGAGCACAUUAGUGAAGCCACUGUUUGUAGAAUAGUUCGACCUCAAGCGCUUUCCUUGACAGAAACUCCUUAAAGCCAUUAAAGAGGAGUUUCACAGGAUUCCAGGUCUGUGGUAAUUAAUUUGUUUAAUUGAGGCUAUUCUGAAAAAUGAUGAUCAGUUAAUAAUAUCUUGCUGUGAUCUGAAAUAAACUGAUAAAUGUGCAGG